rnacentral:rRNA from 1 species
ACGGGUGCGUAACGCGUAUCAAACCUGCCUCAUACUCGGGGAUAGCCUUGCGAAAGUAAGAUUAAUACCCGAUGUUGUUAUGUUGCCGCAUGGAGAUAUAACCAAAGAUUUAUCGGUAUGAGAUGGUGAUGCGUCCGAUUAGGUAGUAGGCGGGGUAACGGCCCACCUAGCCUUCGAUCGGUAGGGGUUCUGAGAGGAAGGUCCCCCACACUGGAACUGAGACACGGUCCAGACUCCUACGGGAGGCAGCCGUGAGGAAUAUUGGUCAAUGGACGCAAGUCUGAACCAGCCAAGUAGCGUGCAGGAUGACGGCCCUCCGGGUUGUAAACUGCUUUUAGUUGGGAAUAAAAAAGAGGACGUGUCCUCUCUUGUAUGUACCUUCAGAAAAAGGACCGGCUAAUUCCGUGCCAGCAGCCGCGGUAAUACGGAAGGUCCAGGCGUUAUCCGGAUUUAUUGGGUUUAAAGGGAGCGUAGGCGGAUUAUUAAGUCAGUGGUGAAAGACGGUGGCUCAACCAUCGUUAGCCAUUGAAACUGGUAGUCUUGAGUGCAGACAGGGAUGCUGGAACUCGUGGUGUAGCGGUGAAAUGCUUAGAUAUCACGAUGAACUCCGAUCGCGAAGGCAGGUGUCCGGGCUGCAACUGACGCUGAGGCUCGAAAGUGUGGGUAUCAAACAGGAUUAGAUACCCUGGUAGUCCACACAGUAAAC